rnacentral:rRNA from 1 species
CAGCCGCCACGGUAAUGCAUAGGUGGCAAGCGUUGUCCGGAAUUAUUGGGCGUAAAGGGCUCGCAGGCGGUUUCUUAAGUCUGAUGUGAAAGCCCCCGGCUCAACCGGGGAGGGUCAUUGGAAACUGGGAAACUUGAGUGCAGAAGAGGAGAGUGGAAUUCCACGUGUAGCGGUGAAAUGCGUAGAGAUGUGGAGGAACACCAGUGGCGAAGGCGACUCUCUGGUCUGUAACUGACGCUGAGGAGCGAAAGCGUGGGGAGCGAACAGGAUUAGAUACCCCGGUAGUCCCUGUCUCUUAUAC